rnacentral:rRNA from 1 species
UACGGAGGAUCCAAGCGUUAUCCGGAUUCAUUGGGUUUAAAGGGUGCGUAGGCGGAAUGAUAAGUCAGUGGUGAAAUCCUGCAGCUUAACUGCAGAACUGCCAUUGAUACUGUCAAUCUUGAGUACAUUUGAUGUGGGCGGAAUGUGUCAUGUAGCGGUGAAAUGCUUAGAUAUGACACAGAACACCGAUUGCGAAGGCAAUCCCCUGGGCCUGCACUGACGCUCAUGCACGAAAGCGUGGGGAGCAAACAGG